GGGAAAGUAGCUCAGUAGGUAGAGCACCGCCCUUUUAAGGCGAUGGUCGCCGGUUCGAAUCCGGCCUCUCUCA
rnacentral:tRNA from 2 species